rnacentral:lncRNA from 1 species
GGCCAAAAUCCUAAACAAAAAAUCAGGCCCAAACCAUUUUAACCCCCACAGCCCAAUCCAAACAGCCCAGGCACCGGUCCAAUUCAAACGAGUCAAAAAGACAUCGUUUGAUUGCGGUUUAUCAGGGAUCGUUGGAUCAAAGCUAACCAACGGCUGAGAUCCCACGAACUUUAACCCAUGUCCAUUACCCGACCCAGUGCCCCGAUUCAGCCCGACCCCAGCAGGAAACCAAACGACACCGUUUUGCUAAGUGAACUAAUCCUGGCCAUCUAUUCUCAUUGAUCCAACGGUCAAGAUUAAUCCACCCCACCCCUAUAUAAGUCCCAAGCCCCUACCCCGGCCUCGAACUGAACACCCCCCUCCUCUCACUGUUCAUCAUCGUCCCCAAACCCCACUCCUAACCCUAGCCGCCCUAGAAUCCCACCGCCUGAAACCCGGCGGCAUCAACGCCGCCGGUCACCAAAAUAACACCCUAGAACCCCCUGAACAUCCUCUACACAAAUCUGACCUUAGUUUCCUUCGAAUCAAACCCCAACUCUUCGAAUAUUAAAUCGAAGGUUGAUCUGAAAACUCAACCCUUUCCAAUGAUCUCCAAAAUAACACCACAGCUUCCCCUAGAUACCCUAGCUAUGGAUCUAGUGUUGGUUUGGUUCGAAUCCUUUCAGAACUCUUCGAAUCUUCUUUUGAGGGUUCGAAUCAAAAAUGAACUCACUCAGAUUCCUUUCAAAUUAACACCAAAUGACCCCUAGGCUUCCCUCACCCUUGUGUCAUCUUUGGUUCCCUUCAAAUCUACCCGGAAAUGUUCGAAUUUAAAAUCCAAGAUCUGAAACCCUAAAUUUUCCAAUCUUGGAAAUUUUUUCAAUUCAAACGAAGGAUUGAGGUUUAAUCGACCUUAGUCGAAGUAUUUUCAGUUGAAAAUACUUCGACUAAGGUCUGUUUGAUUUCAAAAAAGUCCAAAUCCAAGUUGAGUUUGAGUCCGGUUAAAUUUAAAGAUUCAGAGGUAUGUUUUUUCUAUUUUUCUUUUUGUAUUCUAUAUGUUUGUUUCAGUAACCUGUGUAAUGUUGCAUAUUUUUGUUUAAUUCCGUGAU